UCCCUGGUGGUCCAGUGGUUAGGACUUGGCACUUUCACUGCCAUGGCCCAGGUUCAAUCCCUGGUUGGGGAA
rnacentral:tRNA from 1 species